rnacentral:lncRNA from 10 species
CACCCUGAUGCCAGCCGAUUCUCAAAAAGCCAGGAGGAUCCAAGCAGAUCAUUUGCCAGACGGAUGCUCGAGACUCUUGCAGUAAUUUGGGCAAAGAUUUCCACAGUGCAAAAUAGAAAAAACAACUGGCAAAUAGCUGUACAAAUUACAGUCCAUUUUCAUCAUGGAAUGUCAGUUUGGCAACAAUGGCAUCGAGGCCCCAAAGCAGCUCUGCAGUAGGGGGGUUCCUCCUUGGUGACUGGAUGGGCACAGCCAAGCACAGGCUCCUGAAGAUCCCAGCUCCAGGAAACAUCAGCAUGGUUCAUUGCAUUGUCCACCUGAAUUCUUCACCCCUCCCUGUGGCUGUGUCCAUUGCCCUGUAGUGUUGCAGUUCCCCUCAGGAAAAAGAUAUCAUUUACUUCUCUGACCCUUGAUUUGGAGCUUGGCUAUGUGACGUGCUUUGGCCAAUGGGAUAUUGGAUGACACAACAUAAGGAGAGACACAGAUAUGCAUAUGCACAAUGCAGCUUGCCUUUUUAUGCUUCUCCCUUCACCACGAAAAGAGCUUUCCCUGGGGGUAGCAGCUGUCCCUGCAGCCUGUGUUCAGAAUGCACAAAUGUGAGGAGCCAAGCCCAGCCAGCUUGAAAGUGAGUUGCCAGGCCCGGCGCAGUGGCUCACACCUGUAAUCCCAGCACUUUGGGGGGCCGAGACAGGCAGAUCACCUGAGGUCCGGAGUUCGAGACGAGCCUGACCAACAUGGAGAAACCCAGUCUCUACUAAAAAAUACAAAAUUAGGCCUGGCGCAGUGGCUCACGCCUGUAAUCUCAGCACUUUGGGAGGCCGAGGCAGGCGGAUUACCUGAGGUCGGGAGUUCGAGACCAGCCUGGCCAACAUGGAGAAACCCCGUUUCUACUAAAAAUACAAAAGUAGCCGGGCGUGGUGGCACAUGCCUGUAAUCCCAGCUACUUGGGAGGCUAAGGCAGGAGAAUCGCUUGAACCCGGGAGGCAGAGGUUGCGGUGAGCCGAGAUCACGCCAUUGCACUCCAGCCUGGGCAACAAGAGCAAAACUCCGUUGAAAGAAAGAAAGGAAAGAAAGGAAGGAAGGCAGACAAAAUUAGCCGGGCGUGGUAGCGCAUGCCUGUAAUCCCAGCUACUCAGGAGACUGAGGCAGGAGAAUCACUUGAACCUGGGAGGUGGAGGUUGCAGUGAGCUGAGAUGGUGCCAUUGCACUCCAGCCUGGGCAACAAGAGUGAAACUUUAAAAAAAAAAAAAAAAAAAGUGAGUUGCCUACCCUAGCUCAGACCACCUCCAGCCAACCCACAGAUGUGUUAGAAAUGAGUGCUUAUUUAAGUAUGGCAUUGACAUGUUGUGAUUAGUUGUUAUGCACCAUUAUAGCAAAAAAAUUGCACACUGAUAAAAGUAACUGUUCCCUCGUUGGCUUCACCAGCUUUCCCAAGAAUUGUUUAAUCCCAUUCCGUGUAUAAAAUCACUCUCUGCUGAGAAUCCUUUUUCUGAGAAAAGAAUUCUGAGAUUUUUUUUUCUGCUUGAGGCAGACCAACACUCAUUCCAAGAACAACUGGAAAGGCUGAAUAAAACACAGAAAACUUUUUUAAAAAGUUUUUUGAAAGCUUCCCAGUUAACAAACAUUUGAAGGGCCAUAAUCUCAAAAGAAGAAAAACACAAGGAGGCAAGCUGGCCCUCUGUGAACUACUUUUCCUUUCAGGAAACGUGCUGAUUUUAGCUAAGAGGCCGAGCAUUUGGGCAGACGGCCAUAGCUAAGAGGCAGCAAAGUCAGCAGAGUCUUCAGCUGGAGAGACAAGAAAUGGAGACUGAGGUUGUCAAGGCAGCUGGAACUGAAGGGGCCGAGAUAUCAUGUAGAAGGGAGACACAGAAAAGGAACACUUUCCCCUUGAGGCAUCUGCUGAAUUAAGCUAUGCAGAAAGGCUAUGAAAGGCAGCAGGUUUUGGCAGUGUCAUAUUAAUGAGAUAAAAGUUGGAGUUCAGGACCCACCAAGGAAAAGAAGCCUAAUAAUCACAUCAGACGCUCAGCUGGAAUCCUUGGAGGACCACACUCUAGAUAGAUGGGCAAACCAGAGAUGGAGAUGAAGCCUUCCAAAAACUGCAACAUAGACUCUAGUCAGUUCAGUACCAUUGGAUUAAGGUAAAAUCUUCCCACUCUGUCUAUCAGAUGACAUGGUAAACCCUCCCUUGAGACAGACAUUGUUUUCAGAUAAUGUUUCCUGGAGCCACUAAAAUUUAUUAUAAUGGUUAGCAUUCAACAAUAAGUGAUCAAACACACCACAAAACAGGAAGGAGGGGAAAACAGACACAACAAAACGGAGCCACUAAUGACCCAGAUAUUGGUGUUAUCAGACACAGACUUGAUGGGUGGAAUAGAGACUUUCAUCAAAGAACUGGAAUCUAUAAGAAAGAAUGAAAUGGAAAUUUAAAACUUAAAAAUACAAUAACUGAAAUUAAGUACUUAGCAUAUGGGUUAACUACAAUUAGAUUUAGCAGAAGGAACAUUCUUUGAACUGUAAUACAGGACAGAAUAAAAACUCUAAGCUGAAAAACAGAGACAAAGAGUAUGGAAAAUACAGCAAAGAACAUAAGAUACUUGUGGGAAGUGGUGAACAGGCCUAAUACAUACGUAACUGGAGUCUUAGAAGAAGGGAGGAAGAUGGGGCAGAAGGAACAGUUAAAUAAAUAUAGGCUGAGAACUUUCCAAAACUGAUAAAGCUUUAUGAUCCCCAAGCAGGAUAAAUAAAAACAAAACUGCAUCCAGGCACACUAUACUUUUUUAUUAUUAUUAUUUUUUGAGACGGAGUUUUUCUUUGUCACCCAGGCUGGAGUACGGUAGUGUGCGAUCUCAGCUCACUGCAACCUCCGCCUCCCCAAGGUCCAGCGAUUCUCCUGCCUCAGUCUCCUGAAUAGCUGGGAUUACAGGCACGCACCACCAUGCCUGGCUAAUUUUUGGAUUUUUUAGUGGAGAUGGGGUUUCACAUGUUGGCCAGGUUGGUCCCGAAUUCCUGACCUCAGGUGAUCCACUGGCCUUGGCCUCCCAAAGUGCUGGGAUUAUAGGCGUGAGCCACCGCACCCGGCCCAGGCACACUAUACUUAAACUGCUGCAAAUGAAAGACAAGGAAAAAACAUUAAAAGCAGCUAGAGGCAGGUAGGAGGGACACAUUUCUUCUUUUCUUUUUUCUUUCCCCUCCCUCCCUCUCUCCUCCUUCCUGCCUCCCUCCUGUCGUUUUCUUUUGUAGAGUGGGGGAUCUUGCUCUGUUGCCUGGGCUGGUUUUGAACUCCUGGGCUCAAGGGUGCUGGGAUGACAGGCAUGAGCCAGCGCACGUUACUGACACAUUACUCUCAAAGGAGAAACAAUAGCACUGAAAAUCACUUGUCAACAGAAAUGAUGGAAGUGAGAAGAUAAUGGAGUGCCAUUCUGAAGUUCCUCAAAGAAAAAAGUGUCAACCUGUAAUCCUAUAUUCACAAAAUAUACUUAAAAAUGAAUUUGAAAUAGAUGUUUCUAUUCAAAAACUGAGAAAGGCUGGGUGAGGUGGCCUGUAAUCCCAGUCCUUUGGGAGGUCAAAGCAGGCAGAUUGUUUGAGUUCUGGAGUUUGAGACCAGCCUGAGCAACAUGGUGAAAUCCCUUCUCUACAAAAAAUACAAAAGAAUUAGCCAGGUAUGGUGGUGCCUGCCUGUAGUCCCGCUACUCGGGAGGCUGAGGUGGGAGGACUGCUUGAACCUAGGAGGUUGAGGCUACAGUGAACCAUGAUCAUGCCACUGCACUCCAGCCUGGGCGACAGAGUGAGACCCUGUCUCAAAAACAAGCAAACAAAAAAACACAAAAAAACCUGAGAAAAUUUGCUGUCAGCAGAUGUGCAUACACAAAAAAUACUAAAGGGAAUUCUUCAGGUAGAAGAAAACUGAUCUAUGAUAGAAUCACAGAAAUGCAGGAAAUAAUAAAAAAAAACAGAGUGAAUAUGUGGGUGAAUACAAAUGAAUAUUGACUGCACAUAGCAAUAAUAAUAAUGUCUCAUUAGGUGUAAAAUAUAUGUGAAAUUAAAAUGAGUAAUAAUAAUAUACAUGCAAGAGUAGAAUGGAGGUAAAUAGAGAUUGAGUAUUGUGAGAUCAUAGCAUUGUCUGGGAAACAAUAAAAAGUAAAAUUUGUAUUAGAUUAUAAUAAUGUACAGAAGUUGUAAUCUGUGGAGGAAACCACUGAAGAAAUUAUAAAAGAAUGUGUAAGUAGAACCAAUGGUAGGGGGGGAAACGGAAUUAAAAAAAUAAUCAGAAAGAAAGCAACAGAAAAGAAAAAAAUAAAAACAAAAAUGGGUAAGACAAAUGGAAACAAAUAGUAAGAUGGUAUUUAUGAACACAACUAUAUCAGUAAUUACAAUAAAUGUAAAUUCACGAAAUACACAAAAGACAAAAAUUGACAGACUUGAUUAAAACAACUCUAUUCAAGAGACAUGACAUCAUUAUAAGAACACUGAAAAUUCAAAAAUAAGGGGGAAAGUGAAAAAAAUACCACUGUGAGUGGUAGAGAAAGCCAUUUCACAUAAUAAAGGGUUCACUCUACCAGAAAACGUCAAUUUUAAAUGGGUAUGAACCUAAUAACACAAUCUCUAAAUGCAUAAAACAAAAAUUAACAAAACUCAAAGGAGAAAUAAACAAAUUCAUAAUAAUAGUGGCGGGCUUUAGCCUCUCUCAGUAAUUUAUAGAAAAACAGACAAAAAUAUCAGUAAAGAUGUAGAUAAUUUGACCAACCUGAUUAACAAACUUGACCCAGUUGAAAUACACAUAACACCUGCACACAACUGCAGAAUGCACAUUCUUUCAAGUGCAAGAACAUUAUGAUAAGAAUAUUAUAGGAAAGUCUGUCAUAAACAUAGCUUAUAUAAAAAUGUAACAGCAAAUUAAUCUAAAUUUUAUUUAUUUAUUUACUUAUUUUAUUUUUUUGUUUAUACUUAUGUCAUAGUUUAUAUAAAAAUAUAACAGCAAAUUAAUCUAAAUUUUAUUUAUUUAUUUAUUUACUUAUUUUAUUUUUGGAGACAGAGUCUCGCUUUGUUAUCCAGGCUGUAGUGCAGUGGCGUGAACAUGACUCACUUCAGCCUUAACCUCCUGGGCUCACGCAAUACUCCUGCCCCAGCCCUCCAAGUAGCUGGGACAACAGGCAUGUGACACCAUACCUGGCUAAUUUUUGUGGUUUUUGUAGAGACCGAGUUUCACCACGUUGGUCUCAAAUUCCUGAGCUUAGACAAUCUACCUGCCUUGGCCUUCCAAAGUGCUGGGAUAAUAGAUGUGAGCCACUGAGCUUGACUUAAAUCUAAAUUUUAUUUUAUUUUAUUUUAUGGCCAUGCUCCCUCUAAUAAAUCUAAAUUUUAAAUAAAUAAGUCCAAGUAUUAUUGUGUUUAUGUGUAUAAACCUGUGCACACACACAAACGCGUACACACCCUGCUGGUUUCUAUUACAAGAAUGUUAAGUUUGGUUUGACAUUCAACAGUCAAUUAGUAUAAGUCAUCACAUCCAAAGAAUAAAGGAGAAAAAUAAAAUUAUUUCAAAAGGUGCAGAAUAAGUAUUUGAGAGAAAUUUAACCUCAUUUGUAAUUAAAAAAAAUCUUUUUAACAGCUUGAGAAUAUAUGUUAAUGAGUACAUUAAAAAUCCUAUAACAACCAUCAAACUUCAUGGUGAAUAUUGACAACUCUCCACAUGCCACACCCACCACCCCUGAGAUUGAGGAUGAGACAAGAAUACCCACUAUCACUACUUAUAGUCAGCAUUCUGCUGGAGGUCCUAGCCACUGCAAUUUGUAUACCAAUUUUAUAUCUUGCAACCUUGCUGAACUUAUUAGCUCUAGUAGUUUUUUUGUGUGUGGAUUCCUUAGGAUUUUCCAUAGACAAGAUUAUGUCAUGUGCAGAUAUAGUUUAUAGUUUUGUAGCAACAGAAUCUGUAUAUACUAGCCAUAAACAAAUAUAAAACGUCUAAGAAUAAAUCUAUUGAAGGAUGUGCAAGAACACUUUACUGAAAACCACAAAAAUAGUUCUGAGAAACAUACAAAAGACUUAAAGUGAAGAGAUAUACCAUGUUAAUGAAUAGGAAAAUUGAAUAUUUUAAUGAUGUCAAAUGGCCCCCAAAUUGUUCUACAUAAUCAAUUAAAUCCAAUAAAAUUCUAGCACUUUAUUUUGUGGAAAUUGACUAGCUGAUUCUAAAGUGUUUUAUGGAAAUGUAAAGGGCUUCUUUCUUCUGGAGUUGCCUUGUGGACAGGAUUUGAGACAACCCAGGCCAGGUCUCUCUGGUCCAUGGAAAGCAUGUGUAUGCUUUUUGCCCUGACUAUGUCUGUAGAGAACAACCAAAACAACAACCUCCUCCCCAUCAGAGAGCCAGCUAGUCUCUUGCCAUUUAGAUUUUUCAGGGAUGAGUCAGAGAUACCAGUCUACUCUGUCCUGCAGAAAAGGAUACUUAUCAACUUUUCCACGUGGCCCUAGAAAAGUCACUGCUAGUCAGAAAUCUCACUUUGGAAUGUGGGGGUGGCUGGCAUCUAUCCGGAUGUCAGAUGAAACAGGAACAGUUCCACUGUAGUAGCCUGCUCUAUAAACACACAGAGAACCCCUAUUACAUGUGAACUAUGAAGCUAUUAGAAACUACAGCUUUGUGGACUACUUUGAAAAUGUGCAAGUGGGCCGGGCGUGGUGGCUCACGCCUGUAAUCCCAGCACUUUGGGAGGCCGAGGCGGGUAGAUCAUGAGGUCAGGAGAUCGAGACCAUCCUGGCUAACACAGUGAAACCCCGUCUCUACUUGAAAAUACAAAAAAUUAGCAGGGCGUGGUGGCAGGCGCCUGUAGUCCCAGCGACUCCGGAGGCUGAGGCAGGACAAUGGCGUAAGUAAACCCGGGAGGUGGAGCUUGCAGUAAGCCUAGAUCGCGCCACCGCACUCCAGCCUGGGCGACAGAGCGAGACUCCGUCUCAAAAAACAAACAAACAAACAAACAAAAGAAAAUGUGCAAGUGAAAUAAGUGACAAAAAGCAAACACAAGAUAUUCUGUCCAUACGAAACACUGCGAGGCGACACUUGUAUUUGUAGAUUGACAGAAAUUGCAGGUGGAGUUAAAGAGGUACAAACUCAGUAUAACAUUCAUUGCCUCUUUUGCUAAAGUUGUUUCACUGCAUAAGAAAAAGAUACUGGUCGGGCCGGGUGCGGUUACUCAUGCCUGUAAUCCCAGCACUUUGGGAGGCUGAGGCAGGUGGAUCACCUGAGGCCAGGAAUUUGAGACCAGCCUAGCCAACAUGGUAAAAUUCCGUCUCUAUUAAAAAUAAAAAAAAUUAGCCAGGCAUGGUGGCGGGUGCCAGUAAUCCCAGCUACUUGGGAGGCUGA